GACGUAGGGCGCGAGCGUUGUCCGGAUUUAUUGGGCGUAAAGAGCUCGUAGGCGGCUUGUCGCGUCGAAUGUGAAAACUCGGGGCUCAACUCCGAGCUUGCAUUCGAUACGGGCAGGCUAGAGUUCGGUAGGGGAGACUGGAAUUCCUGGUGUAGCGGUGAAAUGCGUAGAUAUUGGGAGGAACACCAGUGGCGAAGGCGGCUCACUGGACCGGUUCUGACGCUGAGGCGCGAAAGCGUGGGGGAGCAAACGGG
rnacentral:rRNA from 1 species